GAUGUCAAUGUAUAGAUUUCCUCUUUUCAGCUUUGCAAAAUCUUUUUCUGGGAAUUCGUUAGGAACGAGAAGGUAUUAAAGCCCUUUGCGGUUGUAGUGUAUCAUAAAGUAUCUAAGGAGAAAUGUGAUGGACAGUUCAAGUUUUGCCUCAGGGCUACUUGCAUUCACCCAUACCCUGUCACAGUAUAGGGCCUGCUAUCUGGGACAGUGCCCUCCACAUGGGGGUUGCAGGCAUUGCUACAAUUAUGCUAACCUCUCAUGAUUUGUCUUCCCUAUGGUAGUAAAAAUCAGCUUAACAGCUUCAUUUUACACUGCACAAUCGGGUAAUUAAUCGUAACAAGGCUCAAGGACCAGUUAUGGCUGGGUAAGCCAUGGAUUAUCCCCACGAAGGUGAUCAACUGGAUCUGGGACUUUCCCACUCCCUGCACUGUGAAGCAAAGUCAAUCGUUUGGGGGAUCUCUUGGGAUAUUGGCACUGAACCUUUCACAGGUACUCUGGCUGCUUUCUCAACAGGGAAAAAGAAAUGUGGGAUUGUGGCAAAGAGAAGGCACACACUCCAGCUUUUGGUAGGGCAAGUGCGCGCUCCCUGUAUCUGAGCGUGAAGUUUUCCCCAUUGAAUCAAGCUCCUCCUGGGGACUGUGGCAACAGGCUGAUGCCCAAGCUAGGUGACCCACCAGCUUCUGGCACAAGACUGGAAAACAGCCCAAGCUAGUUACAAACAUCAUCAAACAUUUUUUAGGUCUCUUAAGCAGCAAAUCCACCUCCUGCCUGGUCACACAUUAUUGAAGGGGUGGAGACCACUAUUGGAUCAAGCCAUCCUGAGGCUCAAUCAAUGAUUUAUCUGCUCUCACCCAAUCUAUGCCCAACAUCAGAAUCUUCCCCUCAGGAGAGAAGGUUUGCACACUCCACGUGUGGAAGCUAGAACCUGAUGCUUUCCUGCCGGUGGCUACAACCGAGGAAGCUGCAGGAGCAGACCUGUGAGCGCCUGGCAACAUCAGUGUAAAACUGGGACAGAUAACAGGUGCCCCUGAGAUUAAGGGUACAAAUGCCCCCUGGCAUUUAUGGACAAAUACAACUGAUAAGAGACUUGGCGCUACUGAGCACAGAUGUAUGAGUAUGUGUCUGUACUAGACCCUGGCUACCAAGGAGAAAUCAGAGUGCUCCUCCAUCUAGACCCAGAAAGACCUGAAGUGAGCCUCACAGUAGGAGAAAAAGUGGCACAACUGAUCCUGCACAAAAUCACCUCCCCUCACGUGAUAGAAGGGGAACCUCCUGCACAGGGUAAAGGGAAGGGGGAGAGACGAUUUGGGGCCAUGGGAGCCAAAGUGUGGGUGAAGGGAGGCACGGGGCGAAUGAAAGCAGGCCUAGUAUUGUGCCCUGCUGGGCAAAAUAAUUCACAUCUCCUGAUAGACGAGGAAGAUUCCCCUACAAUAGUGGCUAAUGAUUGUCUUUUUGUUCAGUAGACUUCAAUAAGAACCCACGUGGGGACUGCAGACACCUGGGGUUUUUUUUUCCAAGCUCUUGAAUUACGGCGCCAAGCUGUUUAAGGAUGAGGGGAGCAGAUGCUUGUGCCAGCCAGAAAUGCUUGCCUGAAUACCUGUGCCUCUGCCUUCUACUGACCAUUGCAUAUACUGACAGUGCCUACCUGCAUUUCAACUACCAGAUUGCCAUUGCUGAACAGCAGUAUAACGGUUGGAUUUGCACGUCUAUAACCGCAGCCCAAGGCGGUGUUUGUGCUCUGCUGAAGCAGGAGUGCUGUGCGUACAUCCCUGAUCUAGCUGCUUUGUUAAAUAAAAGUAUCCAUGCCCUCUACAAGCAGACUGACAUAGUAACCAAUAGAAGAUCAUUCCCUAUUACAACCUUUAGCAGAAUAGUUUAAUGGUAUGGGAGGAUGGUGGAAAAAAUAGGUAUUGAUACCUAUGCUUCUGAUUAUUAGUGUGCUUUUACCUAUUAUGCGCUUUUAUUGCUGGUGUGCCAUGUGUCUACAGUGCAUACAAUGGGCAAGAAAGGUCUUGACAAACCUCCUCAAGUGAAACUCAGGGUAAUCUACGGAAGACUGGGCGUGCAGACUGUAAGAGAUAGCUUGUAGGGGUAGAUUGUCCUGUACCUGACUGCCUAACUUGUAUUUUUUACCUUUCCCCUUUUCUCCCUUUGCAGAAUUUCCCCCCUUGCAGAGUGGAGAUUGCCUAAACAAGCUAUCUCUUCCCAAACAGCUUUUCUUUGCAGCAGCACUUCCCUAAAAGGUGCUAGCCACCAGUUAACUAAUUAGCACCCUCCUCUGCUUGCCCUUGCACCUCUCUGAAAUUGACAAAGACCCUAAUCAGUUUCACCCUGAAGGCUUUCUUGUGUUACUUGAAGUGGCUCAGGGCUUGCAGCAGCCAGCAUGCUAAGCAGACAGCCCGAGGUAUUCCUUUCAGUGUGUAUUCCCCCCAUUGUAUACUUGCUUGCUUUCUUGUAAUCUUCCUCUUCAAUGAAUGUAAAUACAAACAUUAAUUUCCCCUUGCUAAUUAUCCCAGAACCGAGGUGAGGAUCCCAAAGGGUGGGGGAGUGGGGAAAAAGGGCUAUAAAAGCUACCCCUUUUCCCCAGCUUCCUUGUGAAUGAAUAUGAACCUUCCCCACCAUUAGGGCUCACCUGGAUGUUUGGGGUUGUGUCCUCCUGACGCUUUAUGGAUGAUUUCUUAAUAAACCUUUUUUGAGAUUUAUCAUUGUCUUUGGCAUCUCUCUGUGUGUUCUCCUUUUUUUGGUAUCCAUCCUGCAAAUUCUAAAUUAAGUAUCACCAUGCAGAAUAAUGGAAACAACAUUCAUAGGAUUUUGCAUAAACAAGCCAUUAAAUAAAAAGCAACAAUAAUGACUUGUAACUGGAAAAGCAGAGAUGCUAGAGGUCUUUAAAUAGUGCCUUGAUCAAAAGGAUAGCUCCUGGGCUUAAUAAAGUAAUGAAAUACAUUUUUUAAAAGGUGUGUUUAAUUAUGAACAAGCAGAUUAGAACAAUGUGUUUGCAAAAUUAAGGUUUAAUUCUGUUGCAUCUGGCCAUAGGUUUUCUGUUUCUCUAUCAAAACAACCUGCAGUACAAGAUAACAGUGCAAAACCAUAUUGCUCCAUAAUAAUUAUGGAGGAAAAAAUACUAAAAUGCAAAUAAUUCUGUUUCAUAUGAGGAACUGUCAUCAGAUCAGGGAAAGCUGUUCUUGAUGGACUGCCACAUUUGCAUUGUCAGAUUCAUAUGAUUCCUGUUGUAGUGACUGGUUUUGUUUUGCUUUUCUGCAGAUCCCAUCCCAAAACUCUGUUAUUGCAUACAGCUGGAUUAACAUCGAUAGAAGUAUUUUGAAGUUUGGGACCCUGGUCAGCACAUCAAACACUUACGAUGAAACUGGGAUAGUGACCGUUGAAACUGACAAGCCUUUGCUUUGGACAAUGGGAAUUAAAGAUAAAGGGAGUGCUUGAAAGAUUGUCUCUCUACAUAGUCCAACUUGAAAUGUAAGGUGAAAUUUUCUGCUCUCUCAACCACCAGCCAAAUGAGAAUUUUAUAUUGCAAUUACAGUAUUUCAUUAUGCUUUUAUAAAAAAAUCAACAUUUUAUAUGGUUGUUUUUUAAAAAAUGCAGCUUCAGUCUAUUGAAUGCCACAGAUUUUAUGAUGUUUUUCUUUUUGGAGCAAAUCUGUAUUUAAAAGCUUUUGUUUUAAAGCCUGAAAGUGGAUGCAUUUUCAGAUAACUCUGCCUGUAACCAGUGAAUAGAGAUGUUGCUUUAUUUUAACUCACGUAAGAUUGGUAAUCAGAAAUGGGUAUGAUGUACAACAUUCCAUGCUCUAUUCUAUCUGCUGCUUCUAUGCCUCAAACUCUUUAGCAAAAUGGAAACUUUGCUACUGGUUUGGAAUAAGCAGUGCCUCCUAUUAGCUACUGGCUAAUAAAUAGCCACACACUGAAUGCAUGUAAAAUUAGUCUAGAGGAUGCAGUGCAAACCAGAUAUUGUAAGGGGACAUGCACACACACACACACACAUACAGCCACCUGCAGCUCUCCAUACACAUCUGUGCAUAAGCAAAGAGCCUGCCUUCACUCACUCUUUCCCCCCUCUGCUCUAUUAGGGACCAUCUUUCUCUUUAUGUGUGUUUGUAUGUAUAGUGUCUAAUACGUGUAUUUUAUCUCCUGAUCCCGUGGUAGCUGAGAGCUAAACUUAAGUCUCAUGUAUGUCUCUGCCAAUAAAAUUAAACCAGAAUGAAUUUUACAUUGUAAGCAAUUUUAAUUAUACUUUACCUUGGCUCUACUCUGCAUUAACCACAAUAACAAAUACUGAGCUAAAGCAAUUCCUCAAACUUGCCAAAGUUUAAUGGAUCAGUUGUUUUGGAAAGUGAUGUCAACAAAUACCACAUUGCAAAUUAGCCCUACGCUUGCCUUAAUAAAGAUAUAAUUUAAAAUA